ACCACCGCCACCGCCACCAGCCGCUCCAUCCUCCACCAUCUUCCGUGUCCCUCCCUCGCUCAGUCUCCCAGCACAACACGUUACGGGAACACCCUCGGUCACGCAGCCUUCUCUCUCGCGUAGCAGCCCCGCCCACCUGCGCUCGAUCUCGCCUCACCUGUGCUUUUACCUGUUACGACCCACAAGGAGCUUAGGGGAUCUUGAAGCACCUGUAUACCUGGCUGGCUUCAACGUGUCUCGGCAUAGUGUUGAGAAGAUCUUUGGAUUUUUGUGCUCCGCCUCCUGUGUCUUUCUUCUUCCGCAGCGGGGCGUGUGUGGGCUGAGCCUCCUCCACAAUGACCGUCACCUACACCACCAAAGUCAGCAACACCAGCUUCUGUGGGUUCUCCAAGCUCCUCUUCAGGUGGCGCGGCAGUGUCUUCAAGCUCCUGGCCGCCGACUUGAUGGUGUAUUUUCUGCUGUACUUCACCGUCGCCGCCGUCUACAGGUUCGCCCUGAAAGAAAACGAGAAGAGGAUAUUCGAGAAGAUCGCCAUCUCCUGUGAGUACUUCCGCAACGUGUUCCCCAUCUCCUUCGUGCUGGGCUUCUACGUGACCAUCGUGGUGCAGCGCUGGUGGGAACAGUACAUGCUCAUCCCCUGGCCUGAUACCGUCUGCAUCCUGGCCUCCACCUACAUAGAGGGACAGGACGAGAGAGGGAGAUUUCUAAGACGCUCCUUCGCUCGAUAUAUCAACCUCGCCUUCGCCCUCGCCUUCGCCCGGAUCUCCCCCCGCGUGGCCCGCCGUCUGUCCUCCUACCAGAAGUACAUAGACGCAGGCUACAUGACGCAGGACGAGCGAGUGAUCUUCGAAAUGAUGGACUCGUGCACGUCCCACCACAAGAUUUGGAUGCCCCUCGUGUGGGCGUCCCUCAUCGUGCGGCAGGCGCGGAGGGAAGGCCGCUGCCCAGACGACCACGGCCAGAAGGCGGUGGUGACGGAGAUUACAAACUUGAGGUACAACUGUGGGAAGCUCCAAGAGUACCACACCAUGAGCGUCCCCUUGGUGUACACGCAGGUGGUGACUCUGGCUACCUACUCCUUCUUCGCUUUCUCUAUCAUCGGGCGGCAGUUCCUAGACCCCGAGCAAGGCUACGACAACCACUCCGUCGACUUCUACGUGCCCAUCUUCACCCUCCUGCAGUUCGUCUUCUACGUGGGUUGGCUCAAGGUGGCCGAGUCCCUCCUCAACCCCUUCGGUGAUGAUGACGAUGAUUUUGAGACGCUGGAGUUCCUUGAUCGCCACUUGGAGGUCUCCUACAUGAUCGUGGACAGCAUGCACAAGCUCUCCCCCGACGUGUUGCAUCCACCAGGCACUAAAGAAGUCGUGCUGCCCAUGAACAGUAGCCUCUGUCGCCCACACCCCGCCGACUCCCACCUGACCAGCAAGACAUCUUCCCUCAACGGCCGGUCAGAGGGGGAGAAGGGACUGUCCAGCUGUUGCCUCCAGUGGCGGCGGCGCGCGAGGAGCUGCAGCAGACCAGCCCGCCUCAGCCACAACGGCGAGGCGCCCUACCUUGACAUUCACGCCGGUGCCCCACUAACCCCGUCAGGUACCCCCGCACACCUGCCUCCAGCCCUUCCCCUCACCCCGCCACACACCCCUCACUCCUCCCUCUUGGCGCCGGUGUUCAGGCCCUUCAUCCUUGUUCCCUACGCAGCCCAUUCACCCCGUAAGGUACUCCCACACACCUGGCUCUACCCCUUCCCCUCACCCCGCCACACACCCCUACCCCUCGGCUCCGGCCCCUUUAUCCUGAUCCCCUUCAUGCCUUACUUUGCCUUGCCUCACCUUUGUGUAAAAUGUUACCUCACUCUAUAUCCUGCCUUACUUUGCCUCUCCCCUCCCCCCCUUCCGCCUCCCCUCCCCUAACUCCCUCUUCCUUCUCCCUUCCCCUCCCCUCGCUCCUCAAUGAUAUUGGUGUAAAAUAUUUUCCCAUUCUCUUUCUCCGCUAAACAAGUAGGUCAAAUUCACUGCUCUCCUUCCCCUCGCUGAGUCUCCUUGCUCCUCAAAAGUGUUUUCACAAGUGUAGGAACUGUUUGUGAGGAAAAGUUUCAAUUAAUCUCUCUCUCUCUCUCUCUCUCUCUCUCUCUCUCUCUCUCUCUCUCUCUCUCUCUCUCUCUCUCGUAUAAAAAGACUCUCCCUUCCAAUGGUCUCCCUAACAGCCUUGCGUCUCUCCCUCCUCCGUCUCAUCUCCCUUCGUUUAAAAAGACCCUGUCCUCUAAGAAAUUUAUCCAUUCGUUACAACCUUACCUCCCUCCCUCCCUCCCUCCGCCAGUCGUUCCCUUUACUUUCAUCUCCUUCCCCUUGUCUUUCGGCUUUGUCCUGAAAAAUUGUUGCUGUCCCUUAAGCUGCCUUCCCUCUCAUCCUCUUCCUCCUCAUCGUCAUCUUGUACUCAUCCCUCCACUCCUCCUCCUCCUCCAUUUGCCUUCCCUUUCAUUCUCUCCCUUCUCAUCUUCUACCUUUCACCCAUCCCGCUACCCCCUCCCUUCCUCCUUCUCCCCGUUCCCUCCUCCCCCUCCCAUCCGUCCCUCCAUCAUUUUCAGCCUAAACUCUUCCACACACACUCUACGGUAUCUUCCACCCCUUGUUCACUAGCAGCUUCUUUCCCUGCUCCUACUUCUUGUGACCUCUCUUGCUUUGAAUCGCCGCGUAUCGUAUCGUAAUCGUAUCUGUCUAUUUCCUUUUGACGUUCUCUUCUACCUAAUCACACUCCUAUUUCCCUUGUCCCUCCAUCCCUGGUUUGCCUCCAUCUCCUCUUCUUCCUUUCUUUCCUCUCCGUGUCCCUCCCUUUCUCGUUCACUUUCAUCUCUCCCUCCUUUGUACCUUCCCUUCACUGUUCCUUCACGCCUCGUUCACUUCAAUCUUCUCUUUCGUCACUCCAUGUCUCUCCAUUCCUAGGUCGCUUCCAACUUCUCUUUUCUUUCUCUCCCCACUGUUACGCCUCCGUGGGGCAGUGGUUGGGGUGCCUGACUAUGACCCCGCGGACCCGGGUUCGAAUACCGGCCCGGGCAGUCGGCGUGCAGCUCACCCAGCUGUUCAGCCUCCCUUUCGGGCUGGUCGGAAAAUGGGAGCCUAGGGAAACCUGGGGAGCUGUGGCAAUCCGGACUUCACAUUGGCCCGCGUCCCGGGGCAACUGGUUCUUAUCCACCACAGGCUCAAAGGGCCAGCGGUACGGAGAUGAGCACCGCAGCCACGCGCACCUGCAGCGCAGGCACCCACCUUUACCUGUACUGUUCCUGUCCCUUCAUUCUUGUUCGCCUCCAUCUAAUCUCCUUUCCCUCCCAUCUCUCCUCCCUUGCCCUUCAUUUCUCGUUCCUCCCUCUUUUUCCUCCUUCCCAUGUCCCUCCAAUCCUCGUUUACCUCCGCCUUCUUCUCUUUCCCUCCCUCUGUCCCUUGAUCUCUCCUUCACAUCCAGCCUCCUUCCUUUCCCUCCUACCGUCCCUUCACCCCCGCCCCCCGCCAGUACCGUGCCGCACACAACACACCUCCCGUUUUCUGUCAUCGCGGUGUGAGGACAAUAUCGGCGGAAAUUUUAUCGUUAAAAUCCACACUCGCGUUUGACUUUGAUUUUUACAAAACGGCAUUCAUUUUUUCACUCCUUCAUCCUUCGCCUUAUAGUUAACGAGCGUAGACUUGCGCGUUUUGUGGGUAACGAAAAUAUCAUAAUAUAGGAACAGAAGAUAAAUAAUAAAAAAAGCUAAAUAUAAAAAUCAUUAGUCUUGUCUAUAUUAACGAAUUCGUCCUCAGACUAAACAUAAAAUCAUAUCUACUUUUUACUAUUAUCCUUAUAGCUCUUUGCCGUUAACACAAAGCAUCUUACUUUUUAAAUAGUAACUAACUUAAUUUCGUAUGCGUUUUUAAAGCAUUGUGUUUACCUAAAACUAUAACUAAGUUAUUCACUAUUCUCCAUGUAAAUAUUUGUGUGAUUACUCUUGGCAUUCUUAUUUCUUAUAAUAUAAUAGUUGAACUUUAACUUAAUUUGGCAACCUUUUUUAAUUUACUGCGGUCUGUUGCUUCCUGGAACAGCUGUUCCAGGAAGUCUUUUACUGUCUUUUCCUGAUAUCCUUCUAAUUAUUAAUGACAAACCCUGAACAUAAUUUUAUUGAACAAUUAUUGUAAUUUUUAUUUUUGAUUUCAAAAGUAUUGUGGUCAGUCGCUGACCGGAAUAUUCGUUCUCUAUUCAUAUGUAAACAAUAAAAAAAUGUUUACAAAUAAAGUUUCGACCACACUAUAUGCAUGUACACAAUGUUAUGUUGGAUACUAGUAUUGUUGUAUUAAAGUUGCUUCCCUUUAGCUGUCAUUCCUGUCAUGCUUUUGUUUUAAACUUGUUUAUACUGUCAUCAACAUGAGGCAUGACCCAGCUUAGUAUGGCAUAACCUAGCUCAGCGUGGGAUGACCAAGUUUACUGAGGUCUGACCUAGCUCAGAGUGACAGGAUAUAGAUUACUUUAGCAUGACCUUGCAUAACAUAGCAUGACCCAGCUUAGUAUGACAUGACCUACCUUAAUAAGGCAUGAACUAGCUUAAUAUGGAAGGACCUACCUUAUUAAGGCAUAACCUAGCUCAAUUUGGCAUUAACUACCUUAAUAUGGCAUGACCUAACUUGGUGUGGCAUGACCUAGCUUAGUGUGGCAUGAUCUAGCUUAGUGUGGCAUGACCUAGAUUAGUCUGGCAUGAUCUAACUCAGUGCGGUAUGACCUAGCUUAGUUUGCCAUGGCAUAACUAAUAUAGCAUUACCUCGCUUAGCAUGGCAUGAUCUAGCUAAGUGUGGCAUGACAUAGCUUACCAUGCCAUGACAUAGCUUAGUGUGUCAUGCCCUUGUUUAAUAUGACGUAACCUGGCUGGGUAUAACAUGACCUAACAUGCACUCUUCUUUUGUGGUGGCAUUUAGCCUUAAAUAAUUCCUUUUGUGUUCUCGAAAGAAUUUAUUACUAGUUUUUCAAUGCUGCCUCUACUGACAAUCCAUGGGUCUGAAACUAUAACCGCUCCCAGGAGAAUGCAUCAAUAGUAUUCUCAUUUAUAUGCUGUCUCUAACCUCUUGUGGAGCAUCCAUGAAAGGGUUUAAAGUACAACUUUGAUGUUCUUUCCUAACUCUUUUGCCCGUCUCACAUAGUAAACUGUCCCAAAGAAAAUUGAUUAAUAAUACCCUAGUGAUAUCUAUUCCAACCCCUUUGUUUGCCUAAUGCCAUCAAAUAGGAGAGGAAGGGUGGAAAAGCAGAACGGAUGAGAUGAUUAUUCAGAGAGGUCAGCUGAGAGGGCGGCCAAGAAAAAGGGUCUACAAGGGCUUUCUCGACACUGCAACACUCAGUAACACUUUCCUGGCUCCUUGCAGCGUUACCUGGACUCGCUGGACACUCCGCCUCUUCAAAGUCUCCUACAACUGAGCCCUUCAUCAUCCCUUCCAAGGACAUACAGAUCACCGUCCACACCCCAAUAUAGCCAGGUCAGCGUUCUGCUGCAGGGCGGGAACGCGGGUAAGGG